rnacentral:rRNA from 1 species
UACGUAGGGUGCAAGCGUUAAUCGGAAUACUGGGCGUAAAGCGUGCGCAGGCGGUGAUGUAAGACAGGUGUGAAAUCCCCGGGCUUAACCUGGGAACUGCAUUUGUGACUGCAUCGCUGGAGUGCGGCAGAGGGGAUGGAAUUCCGCGUGUAGCAGUGAAAUGCGUAGAUAUGCGGAGGAACACCGAUGGCGAAGGCAAUCCCCUGGCCUGCACUGACGCUCAUGCACGAAAGCGUG